UGCUCCCGGAUGUUAGCGGCGGACGGGUGAGUAACACGUGGGUAACCUGCCUGUAAGACUGGGAUAACUCCGGGAAACCGGAGCUAAUACCGGAUAGUUCCUUGAACCGCAUGGUUCAAGGAUGAAAGACGGUUUCGGCUGUCACUUACAGAUGGACCCGCGGCGCAUUAGCUAGUUGGUGGGGUAAUGGCUCACCAAGGCGACGAUGCGUAGCCGACCUGAGAGGGUGAUCGGCCACACUGGGACUGAGACACGGCCCAGACUCCUACGGGAGGCAGCAGUAGGGAAUCUUCCGCAAUGGACGAAAGUCUGACGGAGCAACGCCGCGUGAGUGAUGAAGGUUUUCGGAUCGUAAAGCUCUGUUGUUAGGGAAGAACAAGUGCGAGAGUAACUGCUCGCACCUUGACGGUACCUAACCAGAAAGCCACGGCUAACUACGUGCCAGCAGCCGCGGUAAUACGUAGGUGGCAAGCGUUGUCCGGAAUU
rnacentral:rRNA from 1 species